rnacentral:rRNA from 1 species
GACGAACGCUGGCGGCGUGCUUAACACAUGCAAGUCGAACGAAGAGCGAUGGAAGCUUGCUUCUAUCAAUCUUAGUGGCGAACGGGUGAGUAACGCGUAAUCAACCUGCCCUUCAGAGGGGGACAACAGUUGGAAACGACUGCUAAUACCGCAUACGAUCUAAUCUCGGCAUCGAGGAUAGAUGAAAGGUGGCCUCUACAUGUAAGCUAUCACUGAAGGAGGGGAUUGCGUCUGAUUAGCUAGUUGGAGGGGUAACGGCCCACCAAGGCGAUGAUCAGUAGCCGGUCUGAGAGGAUGAGCGGCCACAUUGGGACUGAGACACGGCCCAGACUCCUACGGGAGGCAGCAGUGGGGAAUCUUCCGCAAUAGACGAAAGUCUGACGGAGCAACGCCGCGUGAGCGAUGACGGCCUUCGGGUUGUAAAGCUCUGUUAAUCGGGACGAAAGGCCUUCUUGCGAAUAGUGAGAAGGAUUGACGGUACCGGAACAGAAAGCCACGGCUAACUACGUG